GCCAGCAUGGUGCAGUGGUUUGAAUGUUGAACUACAAAUAAGGAGAACUGGGUUCAAAUCCCAGCUUGAACA